rnacentral:rRNA from 1 species
UGAACGCUGGCGGCGUGCUUAACACAUGCAAGUCGAACGGGGUUUAAGAAGGAAGCUUGCUUUCAUUUUAAACCUAGUGGCGGACGGGUGAGUAACGCGUGAGGAACCUGCCCUUCAGUGGGGAACAACAACUAGAAAUGGUUGCUAAUACCGCAUAAUGUCGGAGAGCCGCAUGACAUUCCGACCAAAGGAUUUAUUCGCUGAAGGAUGGCCUCGCGUCCGAUUAGGCAGUUGGUGAGGUAACGGCCCACCAAACCUACGAUCGGUAGCCGAACUGAGAGGUUGAUCGGCCACAUUGGGACUGAGACACGGCCCAGACUCCUACGGGAGGCAGCAGUGGGGAAUAUUGGGCAAUGGGCGAAAGCCUGACCCAGCAACGCCGCGUGAAGGAUGACGGUCUUCGGAUUGUAAACUUCUUUAAUUGGGGAAGAACAAAAUGAC